UAGCAGAGGGUGCAAGCGUUAAUCGGAAUUACUGGGCGUAAAGCGUGCGUAGACGGUCAGUGUAAGUCGGUGUGAAAGCCCCGGGCUCAACCUUGGGAAAUUGCAUUUCGAGACUGCAUGGCUAGGAUGCGGAGGAGGGAAGCGGAAUUUCCGGUGUAGCGGUGAAAUGCGUAGAUAUCUGAAGGAACAUCAGUGGCGAAAAGCGACUUCCUGGACCAAUACUAGACGGCUCAAUGGUGCGAAAGCAG
rnacentral:rRNA from 1 species